AUCCUGUGAAGCCACCUGGCAGCUCUUUACAAGCACCAGCUGAUUUACCUUUAGCUAUAAAUACAGCACCACCAUCCACCCAGGCAGAUUCAUCCUCUGCUACUCUACCUCCUCCAUAUCAGCUAAUCAAUGUUCCACCACACCUGGAAACUCUUGGCAUUCAGGAGGAUCCUCAAGACUACCUGUUGCUCAUCAACUGUCAAAGCAAGAAGCCCGAACCCACCAGAAACGCCAGCGAAGAGUGUGAAAUGAAAAUAUUGCCUUGCCAUUUCUGAACAAAAGAAAACUGAAUUGUAAAGAUAAAUCCCUUUUGAAGAAUGACUUGACACUUCCACUCUAGGUAGAUCCUCAAAUGAGUAGAGUUGAAGUCAAAGGACCUUUCUGACAUAAUCAAGCAAUUUAGACUUAAGUGGUGCUUUGUGGUAUCUGAACAAUUCAUAACAUGUAAAUAAUGUGGGAAAAUAGUAUUG
rnacentral:lncRNA from 1 species